GAUGAAGAACGCAGCGAAAUGCGAUAAGUAAUGUGAAUUGCAGAAUUCAGUGAAUCGUCGAAUCUUUGAACGCACAUUGCGCCCCUUGGUAUUCCGAGGGGCAUGCCUGUUCGAGCGUCAUUUUGACCACUCCCGCUUGCGGGGUCUUGGGCCUUCGCCUCUGGGCGGGCCUUAAAAUCAGUGGCGGUGCCGUCCGGCUCUAAGCGUAGUAAAUCUCCUCGCUAUAGGGUUCCGGAGGGAUGCUGGCCAACAACCCCCAACUUUUAAGGUUGACCUCGGAUCAGGUAGGGAUACCCGCUGAACUUAAGCAUAUCAAUAAGCGGAGGA
rnacentral:misc_RNA from 1 species